rnacentral:rRNA from 1 species
CCUACGGGCGGCAGCAGUGGGGAAUAUUGGGCAAUGGGCGAAAGCCUGACCCAGCAAAGCCGCGUGAAGGAAGACGGCUUUCGGGUUGUAAACUUCUUUUGACAGGGAAGAGCAGAAGCCGGUACCUGUCGAAUAAGACACAGCUAACUACGAGCCAGCCGCCGCGGGAAUGCGGAGGGGGCCAGCGUUGUCCGGAUUUACUGGGUGUAAAGGGCGUGUAGCGGGGCUGACAAGUCAGAUGUGAAAUCCGGGGGCUCAAGCCCCGAACUGCAUUUGAAACUGUUGGUCUUGAGUAUCGGAGAGGUAGGCGGAAUUCGUGGUGUAGCGGUGAAAUGCGUAGAUAUUAGGAGGAACACCAGUGGCGAAGGC